rnacentral:lncRNA from 1 species
GAGAGUUCGUGUGUACUGGUUUCUUUAAUGCUCAAACAUUAAAGCCCUUCUCUCAUCCCCCCACUUUACACAUGAGGACACGAUGCUGAGGCAGUGGGAUGGCCACCCAGUCUGAAGAAAGCCAAAGUGCAGAAACUCUGUAAAUGGAAUCCUGAGGACUCUAAUGGUAGAUGCCUCAGUCCCUGACAGCUAAGCUCUCUCUUCCAGUUGCAGCACACAGCCUGACAGAGAGGGCCUACAUCUUUCCUGAGAGCAGCAGUGAGACAAGCCUGCUGCUCCUUAGAACUUCAGCUGGAGAAGCUCAAUCAUGAAUGCACCCCCUGCAUGAGAACCAACUUUGGAUUUGUAUGUCAGACUAAACCAACACUUCCAUCUUGGAUUUCUUCACAUCUAAGUGCAGUUUGCCACUCUCUGGAAAAUGCUCGGUCUUGGUUUUGCUCGCAGACAGUGGACACAGCAGACCUAGUUGGUGGUGGAUCCACACGGACUGGCACGUUCCAGAACUUUCUCACGUAAAAGCCUCUGGAAAUCCAAAUAUUUACAGUCCUGCACAGAGAAGAAACUUAAGGUGGUGAACGUAAUGAAUAUCCAGCCCCAUGGAAUUAUAGGAUGGACAGUUUCCCCGGCAGAUUCAACAGUGGUCACGAUAAGAAUAAUCAAUACAAAUUAGGGGACAGGCUUCUGUUUUAAUGCACUUAGUAACCAGAUCUCUCAUCCUCAAAUAAGUCCAACAGAGGACCACGAGCUCCUAAGCGCUGUUGUGUAGGAGUGUGUGUGUGUGUGUGUGUGUGUGUGUGUGUGUGUUCCCUUUCCUCUGAGGGAUUCUAUAACCCCCUUCAUUCUCCGCCUCUCUCAUGUUACAGAAAGGAGGUAAUUUUUCCUGGCCAUUUACUAAAGCUCAUUAAAGACUGACGAGAACAAACAAUGGUACUCCUCAGAGACGACCAUUCAAAGUCACUCUACAAUUCUGGGUUCUAAUACUUGAGACAAAUUAAUUAUUCCUUAGUGAAAAGUAUAUAAUUCCUAUUCUUCAUUUUUGGGGGGCGGGGUGGGGAAUAAUAAUGGGGGGUUUCUAUCUGAGUGAAAAGCUGCCCGUGCUGAAGGGAAAUAAGGAAAAAAAUGUGCGUUCUGAGAGGGAGCCAAAGCAAUUAUUCUGAUAAUAAUUCUAAGAAUAUUAAUGUCUUUUAAAAGUAGAUUGCCUUCAAAUAAACACGGAGGCUGAGGCAAUGGGA